GAUGAACGCUGGCGGCGUGCCUAAUACAUGCAAGUCGAACGAGGUGCUUUUGUAGCAAUACGAGAGUAUCCUAGUGGCGAACGGGUGAGUAACGCGUUGGUGACCUACCCCAAAGUGUGGGAUAACAGUCCGAAAGGAUUGCUAAUACCGCAUGUGGUCUUCGGAUUUAGAAACUGAUGACUAAAGGAGCAAUUCGCUUUGGGAGGGACCUGCGUCCCAUCAGCUAGUUGGUGAGGUAAUGGCUCACCAAGGCUACGACGGGUAGGGGACCUGAGAGGGUGACCCCCCACAAUGGAACUGAAACACGGUCCAUACACCUACGGGUGGCAGCAGUAGGGAAUAUUGCACAAUGGGCGAAAGCCUGAUGCAGCAACGCCGCGUGUGCGAUGAAGGCCUUCGGGUCGUAAAGCACUUUUCUGAGGGAUGAGCAAGGACAGUACCUCAGGAAUAAGUCUCGGCUAACUACGUGCCAGCCGCCGCGGUAAAAC
rnacentral:rRNA from 1 species